rnacentral:lncRNA from 13 species
CUGGUCAGACUUUACAUUACUAACUCUAAACUAACACAAUACCUGGUCAGACUUUACAUUACUAACCCUAAACUAACACAAUACCUGGUCAGAGUUUACAUUACUAACCCUAAACUAACACAAUACCUGGUCAGACUUUACAUUACUAACUCUAAACUAACACAAUACCUGUUCUCCUGUCUACUGUCAUUACACCCAUCCUCAGAGGUCAGGAGUGUGGUAUCCACUCCCAACAGAAGUGUUAUCCUCUGGCCUUCGGCGUCCCUGCAGCCCUCAUGGUGGUGGCUCUCAUCGUGUUCAUUAUGGGCAGUGGCAUGUACAACAAGACUGCUCCUAAAGGCAACAUUAUGCUGGAGGUCUGCAAGUGUAUCGGGGUAAGACAGUCUAAUAACACACAGACAGUAAGGGGGUAAGACAGUCUAAUAACAUA